AAAAUUUUAAAGGUCGAACAGACCUAUAAUCUUAACUUCUACACCAAGAUAAAAUUUUAAUCCAACAUCGAGGUCGCAAACUUUCUUUUCGAUUUGAACUCUAAAAAAAAAUAACG
rnacentral:rRNA from 1 species